CGUGUGAUUAUUUGGAAACCAUGUGAACUGGGGAAAAUUAUUAUGUUUAUCAGAAAAAUCAAACAAUCAUCAGAAAAUCAGUAAAUGAGCAUGCUAUAUCUAUCAAAAAAUAUUUCGGCACCUUUUCAAAAAUAUAUUUGGUUUCCAAUCCCAUAUUUAUAAGCUUCAUUAGUGCCCGGCCAUGAACAUCCCAGUGGUUUGGGUGAUUGGGGCUCCCUGCAGCGGGAAAGGAACGCAGUCGGAGAAGAUAGCCGGGAAAUAUGGCUUUAAGCACAUCGAUCCGACGUUCCUGGUUGACAUAGAGAUAGAUACCCACACGGCAGCUGGAAAGAAGUUUCAACAGAUGCGGUUGACAGGACAAGAAAUUCCCUUGGAAGAGAUGGUGCCUCUAAUCGAAAAGGAAUUAAUGGGUAAUCGAGGAGGACUGAAGGGACUCGUUAUCGAUGGUUACCCAACCAACUUCGAUGAAGCUGAAAUCCUAGAGCAUCGCAUAGGGACCCCCGACUUGAUAGUUGCGCUGGAUGUGCAAGAGGAUAUAACCAGUCGACGGACUUCUAGAGCAGGCUCUGUUGGUAGGGCUAGUGUGGCCGAGCACAGGGCCUCCACCCAACCAAUAUUAACAAACUACGCCCUAAUUACCCUGCAAGUGAAUGGUGAGGAAGAGCCCGACCAAGUUUUCGAAGUAAUCAGCGAACACAUGGACAAUCUGGUGAAGAAUCGCAAGCAGAUCAAAAUUGGUCGAUAAAUUUGCCUCCUCCACCCGAACCCUGAGACAUUUAAAUCAAGUGGGAAUCCCAAUGAAAAGCUUGUCACUAUAUCUACAAAAGGGUAGCCAAAAUCGAAAGCUCGCUAGGUCAGAAAAGCUUUGCGCCAAAGCUUGAGCUGCGCCGCACUGCGCGUACUGAAACCGUUAGCCGAAACCGUCCGAACCAUAGCGUUCCGGAGCGAAAGCCUUUUCAUUCAGAUUCAGAUACAUCGAUUCGGAUUCAGAUUCGGAUUCCGAUUCACUCUCAACAGACGCAGCACUCGGCACGGAGCACGGCGGUGGUGGAUAAAACGGAACUGUUUUGGCCACUUGCGAAAAAUCGAGCACAACACUAGACGGAAAAUCGCGCAAUUUCUUCAUCCAAAGGCCCGCAGAAGCAGCGAAUACAUCUAGUAUACAUCAUCAUGUUAUUUAUGUGUCACCAAAUGGCCAUGAAGAAGGAGGCCGAACAGAAACUCAAGGCCGAGGAGCUCCGCAGGGCACAAGGAGCCGCUACUGAUAUUCCCAUCAUCUGGAUCUUGGGCGGACCCGGCUGCGGCAAGGGCACUCAAUGCGCCAAAAUUGUGGAAAAAUACGGAUUCACACA